UACAGAGGGUGCAAGCGUUAAUCGGAAUUACUGGGCGUAAAGGGCGCGUAGGCGGCCUUCUAAGUCGAACGUGAAAUCCCCGGGCUCAACCCGGGAACUGCGUCCGAUACUGGAAGGCUUGAAUCCGGGAGAGGGAUGCGGAAUUCCAGGUGUAGCGGUGAAAUGCGUAGAUAUCUGGAGGAACACCGGUGGCGAAGGCGGCAUCCUGGACCGGCAUUGACGCUGAGGCGCGAAAGCCAGGGGAGCAACGGG
rnacentral:rRNA from 1 species